rnacentral:lncRNA from 1 species
UCCUCGUUGACUCAAGAGCAAGGCGGGAAAAACCCAAGAUUCUCAUGAAUGCUGGUGAUGCUGUGAAGUUUGCCCAGCUGCAGCCGCCUGAAGGCAAAUUCCAGGGGGAAGAGAGCCUCACGUUGCCUCAAGCCUGAAUUGGACAGAAUUCUGCAAGGGGCUCCCAAGUUCGGGUCACAUCCACGUUGGCGGAUCCCGGCUGAAACCCCAGCCCGUGCCCACUGCUGACUUCUGGUCCCGCUGGAGUGAAUAAAGGCUUUGUUUGUAUGCA